UACGGGGGGAGCAAGCGUUGUUCGGAUUUACUGGGCGUAAAGGGCGCGUAGGCAGUCGUGACAAGUCACUUGUGAAAUCUCCGGGCUUAACUCGGAACGGUCAAGUGAUACUGUCGGACUAGAGUACAGAAGGGGCAACUGGAAUUCUCGGUGUAGCGGUGAAAUGCGUAGAUAUCGAGAGGAACACCUGCGGCGAAGGCGGGUUGCUGGGCUGAUACUGACGCUGAGGCGCGAAAGCCAGGGGAGCGAACGGG
rnacentral:rRNA from 1 species